rnacentral:rRNA from 1 species
UACGCAGGGUCCGAGCGUUGUCCGGAAUUACUGGGCGUAAAGAGCUCGUAGGUGGUUUGUCGCGUUGUUCGUGAAAACUCACAGCUCAACUGUGGGCGUGCGGGCGAUACGGGCAGACUGGAGUACUGCAGGGGAGACUGGAAUUCCUGGUGUAGCGGUGGAAUGCGCAGAUAUCAGGAGGAACACCGGUGGCGAAGGCGGGUCUCUGGGCAGUAACUGACGCUGAGGAGCGAAAGCUAGGGGAGCAAACAGG